rnacentral:rRNA from 1 species
AUUGAACGCUGGCGGCAGGCUUAACACAUGCAAGUCGAGCGGUAACAGGGGAGCUUGCUCCUGCUGACGAGCGGCGGACGGGUGAGUAACGCGUAGGAAUCUACCUAGUAGAGGGGGACAACAUGUGGAAACGCAUGCUAAUACCGCAUACGCCCUAAGGGGGAAAGGAGGGGACUUUUCGGAGCCUUCCGCUAUUAGAUGAGCCUGCGUAAGAUUAGCUAGUUGGUAGGGUAAAGGCCUACCAAGGCGACGAUCUUUAACUGGUCUGAGAGGAUGACCAGUCACACUGGGACUGAGACACGGCCCAGACUCCUACGGGAGGCAGCAGUGGGGAAUAUUGGACAAUGCGGCGGAAGCCUGUUCCAGCCAUGCCGCGUGUGUGAAGAAGGCCUUUAG